rnacentral:lncRNA from 1 species
UUUUAUUUUUGGUUGGGGGAAGGGAGAUCUUCACCUCAGCAGCUCAGGGGAAAAAAAGAAUUAAUGAAUAGUCACAUCCCCCUGAGGUGUACAGUGUGCAUCACUGACACUGCUUAAUUGCUUUGUGUGGAAUCUUGUCAUGAGAAUAAAUCAUGCCAGCAUAAUUGGUUGCUUAGCAGCACAGUCAUCUCUUUCUCUAUAUUCUGCAGCAUCUGUCCUAUGGGAGGUGGGUGGGGACUGAACACAACACCCUUAAAUUCAGAAUUUUGUGCUAAAGCAACAGAUUACACUGUGAACCCAUGGAGGCUUCGAAACUACUAAUAGCUUUCGGGCAGUGCUGAGCUUUUUGUUCAAAUGAAGAAGAACAUUUAUAUUGAGAGAAUCAAAGACGUGCAGCCUGAAAGAAUCCCUUAAACACAGCCAGAAUCACAAGCUAUUUGACUGACUGAUGGUUUGAUAGGUGGCAUGAAGUUGACUGCUGAACCCCUUAUACAAAAGCCAUCAUGAAUCAUCUCAAGUUUCUAGAAUGAAGGAAGAUGACAACAACCACUGCCGGCCUAUUGGACUUCAGCUUUCUUCUCAGUCUACCAAGGCCACUCUGGGCAGUUUACCUCCAGCAAUCCAGUUAAGGUAUCCAUUAGCAUCGGCCCUGCUGACUCCAGAUUCUGAAAGGCUAAAGGUCUCCUUUUCCCGACAUAAAGCUAGGCAAGUCUGCUUGCCAUGAUACAAUGACAGGUCAAGUGCUGAUCACUGGCCGAAAAAGGAUGUCAACAAAGUAAGCCGAACAGUCUGUGAAACUCAAUGCUACCCUCUUACUCCAUCUCAAGUUUGAACCAUUACUGAAAUAAUUGAU